GAUGAACGCUGGCGGCGUGCCUAAUACAUGCAAGUCGAGCGAACGGACGAGAAGCUUGCUUCUCUGAUGUUAGCGGCGGACGGGUGAGUAACACGUGGAUAACCUACCUAUAAGACUGGGAUAACUUCGGGAAACCGUAGCUAAUACCGGAUAAUAUUUUGAACCGCAUGGUUCAAAAGUGAAAGACGGUCUUGCUGUCACUUAUAGAUGGAUCCGCGCUGCAUUAGCUAGUUGGUAAGGUAACGGCUUACCAAGGCAACGAUGCAUAGCCGACCUGAGAGGGUGAUCGGCCACACUGGAACUGGGACACGGUCCAGACUCCUACGGGAGGCAGCAGUAGGGAAUCUUCCGCAAUGGGCGAAAGCCUGACGGAGCAACGCCGCGUGAGUGAUGAAGGUCUUCGGAUCGUAAAACUCUGUUAUUAGGGAAGAACAUAUGUGUAAGUAACUGUGCACAUCUUGACGGUACCUAAUCAGAAAGCCAGGGCUAACUACGUG
rnacentral:rRNA from 1 species